UACGUAGGGUGCGAGCGUUGUCCGGAAUUAUUGGGCGUAAAGAGCUCGUAGGCGGUGUGUCGCGUCGGCCGUGAAAACCUGCAGCUUAACUGUGGGCGUGCGGUCGAUACGGGCAUCACUGGAGUUCGGCAGGGGAGACUGGAAUUCCUGGUGUAGCGGUGGAAUGCGCAGAUAUCAGGAGGAACACCGGUGGCGAAGGCGGGUCUCUGGGCAGUAACUGACGCUGAGGAGCGAAAGCGUGGGGAGCAAACAGG
rnacentral:rRNA from 1 species